GAGAUGCUCUGCUUUAUCCCAUCUCCUUGCUCCACUUUCCCCUCAAGGCAAAUCGGAGAGAAAACCCUAGCCCUGCUCUUCCUCCAGCUGCCGCCUCCUCCCAAUCUCCUUCCUUUCUUCUUCUUUGCUGAGAGAAAAUCUCAGGAGAACUUCAGUUUCGUUCGUAGCACCAAGGCAGACACGCCGGAGAUUGCUGUCUUGUCGAUGUCGUCGUCCGAGUGCGUGGAUGGAACCGCCGUGGCGCCUGGGCCAUCCUCGCUGAACUACGGAGCCCGAGCUGGUCAAGAACCUCGUCGCCACCGAGUUCUUCUUCCCGGACCACGCCGCCGCACGCUCACCGCCGUGACCAGUCUUCCUCUUCCUCGCCGUCAUUUUGGAGGUCAUCGCUGCGCACAUCUACGUUGUCUGCAGACCGCCUCUUCCUCCACGGCGCCCUGGUCAUCCACCGGCCACACCGGCGUCUCCGUCGACGCCAGGACACCGAUACCGAGCAGUUCGAGAAGGAGUUCCUCUACAUCACCCCUGAAGACCGCGUUCGUGCUUUCUCCUCCGAUUUGAUAGGCGAGCCCACCUCCUUCACCUAUUUUACAGUUUCACUCUCGUUGUUCUCUUGCUAUCCAUAUGUUGCGUUCUGUUGUGUCACGUGUCCUUUCCACCUGUCACACAUAUGAGCCGUGUCUUCCCGCCUUACCCAUUACCCUUUGUUUGAUGUUUGAACCUUGCGAGUCGUAGCGCGAGUUUAGGGUUUUGAUGAUAUCUCGAUCUGUUAUCGGGAUAUGCUGGGCUGUUGGGAAGUUGUUUUACUUACUAUACCUAUUGUUGGGGAUAAUCAUGGCUCACCCUAAUGUUAAUAUUAAAAUGGAUAAGCAGAGGCAUCAGUGGGUCAGCUGUAUAUUUUGGUUUUACCAUGGCUCACUUGUGUCCAAUUUUAUAAUUAGGACGAGUUCUUGUUUUUUGAUCCAAGACUGAGCGCACUAACCACACGUGGGAGGUUUCACUGGGCCCCCCUCGACCUAUUACCGGAACUGCUUCCACUGUCCAAGUGCCACAAUUAGUUUCGUAACGUUUUGUUUCUCUCGGGCGUGCAAGCUUGUUCCCUUGUGGUCAGAUGAUAUGAUGUCCUUUUUAGGAAGCCGUGAGUGCCUUGUAAUCCGGUUGUCUCUUGCACGCUCGUAGGUGCGGCAUGUAUUGUUAAGAGGUCAUCCUCCAGUGGGCUCUGAUCCUUCUUAGCCGUUCUCGCAACAGCUAGGUCCGCUUCGGAGUUUCGAUCGGGGUCUGAACGGAUUUAACCUAGAUAGGUGGUUUCUUGGACUUGAUCUGUGGUGAAGGGAGGGGUUGUGAUGCGAGGUUUCGCUGGCAAGUUUUCUCAAAACCCUUGCUUGUGGAGUCGGACAUGCGUGUAUGGGUACAGUAGUGCAUCCCUGCAGGGUGAAAUCUUUUCGAAAAGCCGUGUGUGUGGCUUUGCUAAUAAAAACUCUUUCAAAAGUGUGUGUGGCUUUGCCAUACUUCUUUGCGAAGGGGGAUCGCAUUGGCUGGGUUUUGUUUGCAGAGUAUCGAACUGUUAGCUUAUGCGCUCUCUCACCUUCUCUGAUAGACGAAUGUUGUAGUGUGUCUCUAUAAGUUAGUUCAAACUUUGCUGCCGCUAAACCCCACAUAUAGCCGGGCGAAGUUUACACCGCCCACCAGCGAGCACAGCUGGUCUUGUCUCGCAAGUACGUGCCAUUGGUACUUACCCUCGCUUUUCUUUCUCUUUUUCCGGCAACCGUUGGCCCGAU